ACGACAAAAAGCCAAGGAUUUCUUGUAGCGUCCUCCCUCCCUCCCUCUCCCAUGGCGUCAAUGCUCCGGCAUGCCGGCGGCCCUUCCUUCCCUUGCUCCCUGCAUCACCGGCGGCAGCGGGGCGGAGGCGCGUCACACCGCGGCCGGGCCGCGAUGGAGCCCGCGGCGGUUCGGCGGCGCGCGGGACUGCUUUCCUCCCCGCCCCCGCUGCCCUGGGGCCGCACCACCGCUCACCUGGUCCCUCCCCGACGGCGGCGGCCGGAUCCGGACGCUCGUCCCCCUCCUUUGUCCCUCUCCGCGGUGGAGGCCAAAAGGGGCACGGCGGCCGCCGAGAUCUGGCGAGCAGGGCACCGGGCGUACGCGGCGGCGACGGAACUCGGCAGAGUCCCUUGCGGCUCCCGUGCAAGCUGUCGGGGCGGCGUCUCCUCCGUAGUCUUGGUGCCGCCAUCCCGUCCGCUAGAGUGGUGGCACCUAAAUUCACAUGGAUUUCUACUGCUAAUUGGGUUCAGGGCAAGGAAACCACUUCUAAUUACAUGGUCCUGCACAAGCCCAGAACCUGAGAGAUUCACUGGCCGAAGCAAAGUCAGACAUUGUUGUGAAGUGUAUCUUUCUUUAUUCUGUGCAACUUGGACAUGGCAAUUAUGAGUCCUGAUAUAUUCUGCCUCCUUUGGUAUAUACGGCACUAUCCUGUCAGUCCAACAUGCUGCUGCUUUUUUGCUUUCACAGGCAGACAACUAUGAGAAGAUCUUCUGUCACAUGGAACCGAAAAGCAUUCUUGGUUUAUCUCAUGGAUUUCUUCUGGGACAUUUGCAAUCGCUUGGGCUUGAAUUCACAAAGAACAUCAGUGUGAUUGCUGUAUGCCCCAAGGGAAUGGGUCCAUCCGUCCGUAGGCUUUAUGUUCAGGGCAACGAAGUAAAUGGAGCUGGCAUCCACUCUAGCUUUAAUGCAAUUUGGCUGUGACCUUAGUGUCUGCAAAUUUACUAUCACUCAUUUGCGAGCAUUUUUUCGACGGUCCUAUGUCAUGCUUAAAAUUCCAUUAGUACUCACGGCUAGACAAUAAAAAGUUGGAAUCUAUAAAUAAGAUAUUUGUUGGAUGAUCCCAGAUGAGGAAACUAUUUGUGCAUUAGAUGUUCAACAAGCUGGAGGUCUUGUGCUCUUGUUUGAUGAAAAGUUCAGUACAAGAAUUAUUUGAUACUAUAAAUAUAAACAAAGUCCUUGUGGAUAUAUGUCCAUUCAACCACCUUCAUGAAUUUUCAGAACUUUAGAACCUAAUUCAGGGGUAUAGUGUUCCCACUUUGAGGAGAACACCCAUGUCAUCUACAUUUACUACUUGUUUGUUGCUUUUAAAUGGUACCUGAAGGCUAAAUAUUACUUGCUCAGCUGUGUACAACACUCAAAUGUUGUCACAUUCUCAGGUAUUCUGUGUUAAUUGUUUGCCGAGAUGAUGAUAGUUUCCUUUUGCGACCGUAAUUUAGGUGGCAUAUGCUUUCGUUCCUUUUGGUCUGGUAAUGACUUUUUCUGUACUUUCACAGGCUGCAAGCCAAGAAAAGAGCGUGGAUCCUAACAACAACAAGUAUUCUGUAAAAGUGCUACCCGUAAGUGAUUCCUGAGGUUGUGCCCAUCAGUUCAAUAGUUGGAUCCAAAUAUUCUUUUUGAGCCGACGAUGGAUUGUGUUUCCUGCAGUUCAAAUGUGAUCAGAGCUUGUAUGGAUUUUGGGAAACACAAUCCAUGAAACACAUUUCUCGUUUGGUAUCUUCUGUUUACCGAAAUCAGCAAUUAUUCCCCUUCACAGCCAUCCUGCGAUGACAGUAUUUAGCAACAUACUAUUUGGUUCCAUUCACCUGAAGUCAUAGGACUGGGCUAAGAGUGCGCCAGAGGGUCAUGAUACUGCACUUGAGAACUCAGAUGGAAAUUAGUGCUGUCAAUAACACUAGCUGUUUGGAUCAUCAGCCCCUCUUGGACUCCAGCAGCCCCUCAGCUGAACCGAAUGGAGAUUUACUUUGUAAUAUAAUCAGUAUUGCUCCUGGAUAAGUGCCAUCUAUAACCUCCUGAUCCCUUGAUCAAAGAGCUAAUUAUCACUGCAGUGUUCCUUAUAAAGCUAUAAGGCAUCCUGAUCAUUAA